UAAAACCCAGGCUAUUAACUUCAGUCUCAGCCUGAUUUUAUCUAAGUGGAAAUUUUUUAAUGUCAACAUUGCGUUUAUAAAGCUAUUCAAACACAGUAAGAAAUAUAAACUAUUGAGGUCAAACUGUAUUCAUAAUUAUUAACUUUAUGUCUGUUUUAUUAUUGAAGUUAGUAACUAUACUCACAUAGUUCCUGCUGAUCUUACACUGUUAUGCAAAAGUGGGAGAUUUUUGUUUUAGUGACAUGUAAAAGUGAAAUGAACAAUUACCAGUGGAAUGGAAAACACAUACCUAUUUGCUUCUCCUGCCUAGGUGUGGCUCAUAAGGCUCCAGUUUGAGAAAGUGGAAAUUUAAUCUGUAUAGCAACUGGGAUCGAGCAGCUAAAAUUCCUGCUCCUAAGCACUGCCUACAGAUUCCUGGUGGCUAGCCAGUGGGCACAAGGUUUGGCCUGUAUUGUAACCUCAACAAUGCCUGGUUGGAAAUCCAGAAAUUUAAUUUUCAGGCUGAGAAUUAAUUCUCUUGGUAGAAGUACAGGAAGGCAGCUUCUGCUGGUGCAAGGCGAAGAUCUAGUCGAGCAGAAAGAUUUGCCUCUCCUACAUGGACGGCCCUGAGUCAGCAUCACCAGAUGGAGUCCUGGAAGCACGCAAACCUUCACACGACAUCAACAUGUUGAUCCAGUUCGUGGAGGACUGAGGAGGAGUCAUUUGGGAAGGAUGAACUACUGGUUUCAGCAAAAUGAAACAUGAUGUCUGAAGGAGGCUGAACAUGUAUCGACUUGCUGUGGUUUGCUGGAAUUCUGCCUUGCUUUUGAGAAUGGAUCGGUGUUGUGGAAAGAAUACGAUUGGUGAGGCUUGAAAGACACAGGUUUUUAGAUUCUUCUGUGAGAAGAGGGUGCUGACUACCAUAGCAAGAUAUAACUCCACUGAAUGAAUGGUAAACAUGUGGCCGGGGCCAGUGGAGUUUUUUGUCCAUGAUAGGCGUGCAGGUUGGAGAAUGGAGGCGAGUAGCUUGUCUAAAGAGUGCAAACACUGGAAGAAGGUGUUAUUUCUGUGGUGAUGGCUGCUUAAGAGCAGUACAUAAAAAGAAAGAUUUAUUGUAAUUGGUUGUGUGACGGGAUCCUGAAUUACCCCUAUGAACUGUGCUCGUUUACCCCUAUUAACUGUGCUUUUUAAAAGAGAGAGAGAGAAAGAGACGAAGACUAACUUUUGGACUGUCACUUUAAGGCACUGGAAGUAACUUUUGGAUUUCUACUGAGUUGGAGAGAGAGAUGGCAUCAAGCAGCUUGUAAGUUGCUAUGGUGACUGAAGGCAGUGUUAUUUAAUGGACACUCGAUGUUAUGAUUUUCGGCAGAGUGUUGAUACUUCUCAAGGACAGUUCGCCUGCUUGUGCUUUUCUUACAGAGAGAGAGGAAGGAGGAGUUAUUUGAGUGACAGUUGCUGCUCAGCAUGGGAAGAUAAAAUAGGAGGUCAGAUGAUAGACCUCAGACACAUGUUCUGGACACUGAAUGAGCAUUGUUGUGCUCGCAGGAAAAGUGGGUUUUGGAGGAUCGAUCAGUCGUUCUUGCGGUGAAAGAAGGAAAAGGGGUUGACUGGUGGGGAGUUGUCCAUGUGUCCACCCUCGCCUGGGGGAUAGCUCCACCACAGAAAACCGGUCCCCUUUGUUAAAGUCACAGUCGGUGACUUUUAAAGGAUUUCGAAGGACAACGAGAAGAUCACCUGAAGACUCAAAUCUCUCCCUUUCUCUCUCUCCAUCACUACUCAACUCAAUACCACGAACUGAACUGAACUGAACUUUACUCAUCAUCGUAAGACUGUAUCUUUUUACCCCUAGACUUAAAGAAGCUUGGUUUUUCAUACAUAUAUUUCCACACUUACUGAUAUAUUUACUUAAAUAUAUAAUCAUUGCUAACCUGUUUAAUUUAUCUACAUUUAUAUGACUGUAUUGCAUAGUCACUAAUAAAUAUUAUUAGAUUAUAGCAAUACUGGACUCCAAAAUGUUUCCAUCUCUGCUGGUUCUUUAUUCCCAUCACGGGGUACGUGACAGUUGACCAUC